AACGAACGCUGGCGGCAUGCCUAACACAUGCAAGUCGAACGAGACCUUCGGGUCUAGUGGCGCACGGGUGCGUAACGCGUGGGAACCUGCCCUUAGGUUCGGAAUAACUCCCCGAAAGGGGUGCUAAUACCGGAUAAUGUCUUCGGACCAAAGAUUUAUCGCCUUUGGAUGGGCCCGCGUUGGAUUAGCUAGUUGGUAGGGUAAAAGCCUACCAAGGCGACGAUCCAUAGCUGGUCUGAGAGGAUGAUCAGCCACACUGGGACUGAGACACGGCCCAGACUCCUACGGGAGGGAGGAGUGGGGAAUAUUGGACAAUGGGCGAAAGCCUGAUCCAGCAAUGCCGCGUGAGUGAUGAAGGCCUUAGGGUUGUAAAGCUCUUUUACCCGGGAUGAUAAUGACAGUACCGGGAGAAUAAGCUCCGGCUAACUCCGUG
rnacentral:rRNA from 1 species